rnacentral:rRNA from 1 species
UACGUAGGUGACAAGCGUUGUCCGGAUUUACUGGGCGUAAAGCGCGUUCAGGCGGUUUGGCAAGUCGGGCAUGAAAUCUCUCGGCUCAACCGGGAGAGGUUGUCCGAUACUGCUGGACUUGAGGGCAGUAGAGGGUGGUGGAAUUCCGGGUGUAGUGGUGAAAUGCGUAGAUAUCCGGAGGAACACCAGUGGCGAAAGCGGCCACCUGGACUGCACCUGACGCUGACACGCGAAAGCUAGGGGAGCGAACGGG